UUUUAGGGUAGCCAAAUUCUAUUCACUGGAAUGAAUUUCAUAUAGGUGUUGAUAGUCAGUAUAUUCAAUUUCCAUUCAGAUCCAAUUCCAUUGGGUUAGUUAAAUAAGUUGAAAGAAGGAAAAUAUUCUUAGAAAUCUAAAAGGUCAUAUAACAGGGACCCAGGAGUUGUAUCCAUGCCUGCCUACUCCUAGACCAACUUGCAUAUAAUCAUUAAUAAAGUUGAGAUACUGACAUGGAAAAUUUGAUCCAUGGCAAAGGAAGCAACUAUAUUUCCCACCUUUAUUUCCCCUUUUUAUUUCUCCACCGAGUCUCAUCUCCAAUAGCAUCUGAUCUCUACCCUUUCUUUCUGCUCAGAAAAUAACCUAAGAGCCUAAAAAGAUGUUACUUUCUGGCUCCACACCAUCAACAUUAAUUACAUGCGAAGUAAAAUCAAUCCAUCCAAAGGUAUAAUCAUAACAAAAGAUAAGAAUUAAAAUGUACACUCUCAGACAAAGCUUUUUAAGCUUUUCAUUAGCACUAGCUGCUGCUUAUAAUUUAAGCUUUCUGUCUUAUCACUUACUAUAAUUAUAAUUUAAACAGCACUUAACUAUAGAGAGUAGCAGAAACACGCAUACCAUUUUUUUUUUUAUUUGACUGUGUCUUGAACUCGUCAACUUCAGUGCCAUUUGAGCUCAAGCUAGUAUUCUUUAAGCCACACCAAAUCUGAUUUUAACAAUAGCAGUAGCACAAGCAAAUAACUCACUGCAGGCUUAGUAUUGUUAGUAAGAUAAUUAUCAAACAGUGGUAGAACAUUGAGUCCCUUGCUUUGAACUGAGCGGGCCGCUAGGGAGAGAAGGUCCAAAAGCCAUAACAGCAACACAAUUCACGUUAAGCCUGUAUCUCCCGGAAACCCAGGUCCCAACCUUCCACCGUAGCCUUCCAUUCACCUUCAAGUUAAGAAAUAGUUUUCCGGCGGUCUGAUCCCGCCCCACUUCGUAACCGAACGAUGAAGCCACCGGUAGCCCAGUUCCAAUCAAAGAUGCUGUCAAGAGGUUGCUAUCUUGAUGUCCUUGGUAGAAUGGAGGAAAAGGAGUAGCCACAGUGAUCUGCUGACCCUUGUAGGCGGCGUAAGCCUGUAACUCGUCGUAGUAAAUGCCUACUUUGUCAUUGGGGUUCUUGGAAAGUAGGGUGAGUUGGAUUGAAGAGUUGAGAAGGUUAAAGCCUGAGAGUUUAAGUUGGUAGAUGUCAGCUUCUUUGAGGGAGAACUGUGGCUUGGCAGGGCGAAGGAUAAGCCAAACGAUCAAUAUUAGGGAAAGAAUUGAGGUGAAAAAUGAAGAGAAGAUAAAGAAGAACUUUUUGUAGAACUUGUUUACGUUGAUUUCUUUCUUGGCACAAUGCUUGGGAGAUUCAAUGGAGAAUAGAGACAUUUGCAGUAGGGAGAGAAAGGGGGACAGGGAGAGGGGAUGGAGAAGCUUACAAGGCUAAGGAAUGAGAAAUGAAGGGAUAAGU
rnacentral:misc_RNA from 1 species